UACGUAGGGGGCAAGCGUUGUCCGGAUUUAUUGGGCGUAAAGCGCGUGUAGGCGGCCAGGUAGGUCGGUUGUGAAAACUGGAGGCUCAACCUCCAGACGUCGACCGAAACCAUCUGGCUAGAGUCCGGAAGAGGAGAGUGGAAUUCCUGGUGUAGCGGUGAAAUGCGCAGAUAUCAGGAAGAACACCGAUGGCGAAGGCAGCUCUCUAGGACGGUACUGACGCUGAGACGCGAAAGCGUGGGGAGCGAACAGG
rnacentral:rRNA from 1 species